AUGAGAAAGGGCUUGAAGAAUCACUAUAUAAUAUGAAGAGCUAAUUUCUAUAUACUCACUUCAACUUUUCUUCCUUCAAACUUUUCCUCCGUUACUAUGGGUGCCUCUUUUGCAACUCUUCAUGUGCUUUUCUUAAUAUGGUUCUUUCCCAUUGCCUUCAGUUUAAGCCUCUUCUUCUUCAAAGCAGAGUCAAACUCAAAUGUCUCUUGCAAUGAAAAAGACAAGCAAGCCCUUCUAACUCUCAAACGUGCUUUCACUGAUCAUGAGCACGUCCUCUCAUCCUGGUCUGACCAUAAAGAUUGCUGUCUAUGGGACAGAGUUUUCUGUGACAAGAAAAUUGGCCGAGUCUCUGAGCUCCACCUCAAUCAUUCGAGGUUAGGUGGUGAGAUUAGUGGUUCGUUGCUUCAAUUAGAGCAUUUGAAUUACUUGGAUUUGAGUUACAAUGACUUUAAUUGUACUCGUAUUCCAAUUUUCCUUGGUUCAAUGUUCAGUCUCACACAUCUUGACCUCUCAAGAGCUAACUUCAGUGGACUCAUUCCUCAUCAGCUUGGGAACCUUUCAAGCCUUCGCUAUCUGUCUCUUAGAAAUAAUUCUGACCUCUAUGUAGAUAACCUUCAUUGGAUGUCUGGUCUCUCUGCCAUUCAAUACCUUAACCUCGGCUACUCUGACCUUCAUAGAGAAGUUGAUUGGCUUCAAAUAAUGAGUAAGUUCCCAUCUCUUUCGGAGCUAGACUUGUAUAAUUGUCAGCUUGAUAGCCUGAAUCCAUCUCUUGGAUUUGUCAAUUUCACGUCUCUUCAAGUCCUUGAUCUUUCUAAAAAUCAUUUCAAUCAUGAGAUACCUAAUUGGUUCUCUAAUCUCAGUACAAGCCUCUUAAGGCUUGACCUGUACAACAGUUCUUUGAAAGGCAAUAUACUGCCUAGCAUUUUCAAUUUAGAGAAAUUAGAAUAUCUUGAUCUUGGACUUAAUUCUUUAAAUGGUCCUAUACCUUCUUCCUUUGGGAAUUUAUCUCGUAUGAGAGUAUUAUUACUAGACCACAAUCAAUUGAAUGGCACCAUUCCAAAGAGUCUUGGGCUUCUCUCUAGGUUAGAGAAUUUGUAUGUCGGAAAAAAUUCUUUAACAGGUAUAGUAGAUGAAGGGCAUUUCAGAAAACUCUCAAAAUUAAAGGAACUUGAUAUGUCUGAAGCAGGUUUGUCCUUUAAUGUCAAUUCCAAUUGGGUUCCCCCCUUCCAACUAGAAUAUGCCUACAUCAGCUCAAUUAAGAUAGGUCCUAAUUUUCCUUCAUGGCUACAAUCACAAAGAUUCCUCAGUGUUUUAGAGAUGUCCAUGUCAGGAAUUUCAGGCAAAGUUCCGGGUUGGUUCUGGAAUUGGACUUCAAACAUUACAGUUAUCAAUCUCUCUAACAACCGCAUAGAAUGUGAUGUAUCAGACAUUUUUUUGAGUCAUACUGUCAAAGAGCUCAAUAUAGCUAACAACUCAUUUUAUGGACCCAUUUCUACUUUCUUAUGCCAAAAGAAAAUUAGAAAGAAUAAAUUAGAGGUUUUAGACACAUCAAACAAUCUCUUAUCAGGAGAACUUUCUCACUGCUGGAAGUAUUGGCAGUCUUUGAUCCAUCUUAACUUAGGUAGCAAUAAUCUAGUAGGUAGAAUUCCCUACUCCAUGGGGGCUUUAGUUAACCUCCAAUCAUUGUGUUUACAAAAUAAUAGCAUCUAUGGAGAUAUUCCUUCAUCGUUGAAAAAGUGCUUAAAUUUGAGGCUCAUUGAUAUAGGUGAUAAUCAUUUGUCCAUCAUACCACUAUGGAUUGGAGAAAUGACAAAUCUUUUAGUUCUCCGUCUAAGAUCAAGUGAAAUCAAGGGUUAUAUACCUCAACAAAUAUGCCAACUAUCUUCUCUUAGAGUAUUGGAUCUUGCCAAUAAUAGCCUAUCAGGAUCCAUACCAAACUGCUUGAAAAAUAUUAGCGCCAUGGCAUUACCAGAUUCCUAUGAUAAUUCAUUUUCUUAUUUUGUGUCCUUUAUAUAUUGGAAUAUGCAAGCAUCCUAUGUUGAGAAUGUUCAGUUAGGUCCCAAAGGGAAAGAAAUGGAAUACAAAGAGAACCUUAAAUUAGUUAGGCUCAUUGACCUUUCAAGUAACAACUUGUCUGGAUCAAUCCCUACAGAAAUUUCAAAUCUUUCCAAGUUACGUUUUUUGAAUUUGUCUCGAAAUCAUUUGAUGGGAGAGAUACCAGAAAAAAUUGGGAGUAUGAAAGAUUUAGAGUCAGUUGAUCUCUCACGAAAUCAUUUAUCAGGUAAAAUUCCUCCAAGCAUGUCUAAUUUGACAUUUCUUAGUCUCUUGGACUUGUCAUACAACAACCUCUCGGGUAGAAUUCCUUCAAGCACCCAGCUUCAAUCAUUUGAUGCCCUUAGGUACAUUGGAAAUCCUCAGUUAUGUGGUGAUCCUCUUCCAAAAAGUUGCACAAUUGAGGAACAAUCAUUGAAUAGAUCACCAAUUGGCAGUGUUGAAGAUGAUUCUAAAAACUCCAGCUUCUACAUUAGUAUGGGAGUUGGAUUCACAACUGGCUUUUGGGCAAUUUGUGGAGCUCUCUUCUUUAUUAGGACUUGGAGGGAUGCUUAUUUUAGAUUUGUAGAUGAAAUAAAGGAUUGGAUUUAUGAGACUACAAUGAGGAAGAUGAAUUUAUUGUAAAAGCUAAGAGUCUACCAUAGUAAGUGAGGCAUCGUCAUCUAGCCAAAAGGCUGUGAAGACUCUUGCAAUCCAAGAUCAAUUACAAUUAGAAGCAGAAUAAAUAAAUUGUUUCUAUAUACCAGGGAUGCUGAUGAGGCAAAAGCAGAGGAGUUCAAUGAAAUGGCUUGUAAAGCCUCUCUUACUAAUCAACAGAUUCAGGUCCAAGAAAACAUUCAUGCUCAGAUUAAAAGUUUCUCCAUGUGUAUAAAUGAAAUUCUUCUGCCUUAUACUAGAAGGAUAGGUUAGGCACAAGAACUACCUCCACAACCAAUAGCUGCUCCUUGUCAGAGUGGCCUUGGUUUUGCUGUUGGCAGGAAUGGCCAACCUAUGGACUGUCCUGGUAAGAUUCUAUUUGUAACAAAAAACCCUUUCCAAUGUUGCAUUAUGAGCUUGAAGUUGUGUGAGUGUAACUUGAGAUGUUCGGGAUCUUUGAAUUUUCUUGUGGCUUAACCUUGAAGUAAGGGGAUUAUAUUGAUUCGAAGGAAUGAUCUUUUGAUUUGUCCAUUGAUUACCCUAACUUCUUUAAUUGUUUCCUUAAACGAAUUUAAUUAUUUAAAAUAUUUAAAUUUAUUCAAGUAGAGUUGAAGUCAACAUCCAAUCACUUUUGAAUUGAUGUGUCAACAAAAGAAAUCUACAUUUGGAUAGCGAAGUGGAGGGGAAGAUGUCUUGGGGAUACUUAAAUUGAUUUUAUGGAAAGGCAUCUUCAAUGAGUUUUUAAUUACUAUUUCCAGAAUACCUAUUGGGAGUUUGUUAUCUCUAGCUUCUAUAAGGCCUUUCUUGAAAUCAUGUUUUUGUGUUUGUGAUGUGAUUCGUUCUAUACUUUUUAACAUUUUUUCUUCUAAAUUAAUAUUCUUAGAUGAACUGGUGAUUUUAUAUAUAUAUAUAUAUAUAUAUAUUGGAAAGAUAAUAUGCUCUAUUUGUUAGAUUUCUUGCAAACUUCAAUGUUGCGAAUGAGUAUUUCCCCUUUCUUAAGAACAAGGUGGCAGAUGAGAUUGGGGUUCAUGACCCACUCAUACGUGUAACUUAUCAAUAAAACAAAAAGAUUACUUGCAAGCUUUGAUGCUGCUAAUACCUUCUAGAAUAUCUCUUGGCUUCUUUUCAUUGAAGUUAAAGCUCUAAAUCUAAAAUAGUAUUUGUUCUUUUUUGAAUGCCAUUCUUAUUGCAGCUAAACAAGGAAUUCAACUAGUUUGUACCCUAAAACAUGACAUUAUUUGGGUUGAAACUUUGGAAACCAAAUUGAUUAUAAAGGUUAUGGGAAGUUCUCAGUUUUGAUUGAUAUUCGAUAGGGCCUUGAUUGGAAGUCGUUGUAUUGGAGGUAACAUAUAUAGAGGUUCAAAUUAUUUUACUGCAAGAAAGUGCUAGAUUGUGAUCAAUUCUCAUUUUACUACUUGGAAGGCACGUUGAUGGCUAACAAAUACAUGGAUAUGUGGGAAAAAAAGGGGAUCAAUAUCUCUAGAAGUACAAGGAUGUCCUCGAAGCUAGACUUAUGCCCUCCAGUUUAAUCUCCUUAUGUGAUGCACAAGAUCAAAGAAGCUAAAACUUGGAUGGAAGUCAAGCAAACAUUAAAAUCAAGUUAUGUCAAGUUUUGAACUUCUACUAUUAUUUGAAUUUUAUCACCAAACUUGAACAUCCAGCUACAACCGUUUGGGAUGGAAUGCUGAUGAGGCAGAUGCAGAGGAGAUCCUAGAAUGGCUAGUAAAGCCUCUUUUGCUGAUCAACAGAGCCAACUCUAAGAAAAUGUCCAUGCUCAGAUUAAAAGUUUCUCCAUGACUAUGGAUGAAAUUCUUAUUCCUGAUACUAAAAGGAUAGGUGAUGCACAUGAAUUGCCUCAACAACCAAUAGCUGCUCCUCGUUGGAGUGGCCUGGGUUUUGCUGUUUGCAAGAAUGGCCAACCUACUAACUGUCCUGUUGUACCUGGAACAAAGCCAUUGAAUUGUGCUAAACUCUCCGAAAGAUUACAGGAUCUCAUUGUUACAAGCUUGAUAUCAAGCCAUCUCAAAUGCCACACAGGGAAGCCAGGCGCCAGCCAAGGAUUAAAUUUAGAUGGUGCAAGUGAAAUUGAUGUUGGUGCUGUCAUGGCCUUCUAGCCUGGUGUAGUAUACUCUACCACUGUACUAUACAUUACAUUCCUGGAUACCCAAGAGUUGAUGUGCAGAACACAUAUAAGAUAACAAGGUAUGAUGGAACUGUGAUCAAUGCCCAACAUUGGGGUUUUGGUGUUUACUAGGGUACUUCAUAAUGAAGAAGUGCUGUUAGACUACAGAAUGAGCAACUUAAAGCGAUGACGCAUGAUAUACUCCAAUGUAUGAAGAGGACCAAAGGAGAUGGAGCUUCGUGUAUGUUGAUUAGCCAUAAUUUUAUUCAACACCUUCUCACCCAAGUGUACUUUUUCCAUGUUUAUUAGUUAGCAAUCAUAUUUUUCAUUUAACUGUUUUGAAUCUACAAUCGCCAACCUUUGUAAAUUACAUAGUUAUGGCAUCUAGAUGAAGAUUGUACUACUUUAUGCUCAAGUUUUCUUUCAAGUUUACUUUAUGCUAAGGGGUUGGUUUAGUA